GUGGACGUAGCUUAGCCCGGACGAAAGCACCGGCCUGCCGCGCCGGGGAGGCGGGUUCAAAUCCCGUCGUCCACU
rnacentral:tRNA from 1 species